rnacentral:rRNA from 2 species
UGACUGCCGGUGACAAACCGGAGGAAGGUGGGGAUGACGUCAAAUCAUCAUGCCCCUUAUGACCUGGGCUACACACGUGCUACAAUGGAUGGUACAAAGGGCUGCAAACCUGCGAAGGUAAGCGAAUCCCAUAAAGCCAUUCUCAGUUCGGAUUGCAGGCUGCAACUCGCCUGCAUGAAGCCGGAAUCGCUAGUAAUCGCGGAUCAGCAUGCCGCGGUGAAUACGUUCCCGGGCCUUGUACACACCGCCCGUCACACCACGAGAGUUUGUAACACCCGAAGUCGGUGAGGUAACCUUCAUGGAGCCAGCCGCCUAAGGUGGGACAGAUGAUUGGGGU